AAACAAUACUUCCCUCUACUGGAAGGCCCAGGAAUUCUGGAAUUUAAUCUGAAGUGUUCAAUUUUUCUGAGCUAUUUUUGUUUGACUGAGAAGAGAGACCACAGCAGCAUAGGAUGAAAAAGAAAGAGGGGAAUUAUAAUGGUGGAUUUUUUUGGUUAAAGCCUUGGCUUAAGGAAUUGGAGACCUCCUAUACUUCGUUUUUAAGUGUGAAUCAAUGGCUAGGAAGGCUUCAGAGCACGUGGAAAACUUUGCUUGUGGCUUCCGGAUCAUGGCUCUGGAAUUAACACCUGCCACUUUGGAAAAAGAGCUGUGGAGUCCCUCAGGGGCUAGAAGAGGUCAGGCUACCCUCCUCAGCUUCGUAAGGUUCGCUUGAUUCGCUGUGUUAGCAAGCCAGCUUAAAAGCAAAACAAAAGGAAUCCAUCAUUUCCCAUGUGAAAAUGGCAUUUUGGAGGACAAGGAGAAAUUUCAACCAGCUUUAUGAAAUAC
ensembl:lncRNA